rnacentral:rRNA from 1 species
GAUGAACGCUGGCGGCGUGCCUAAUACAUGCAAGUCGAGCGAACGGACGAGAAGCUUGCUUCUCUGAUGUUAGCGGCGGACGGGUGAGUAACACGUGGAUAACCUACCUAUAAGACUGGGAUAACUUCGGGAAACCGGAGCUAAUACCGGAUAAUAUUUUGAACCGCAUGGUUCAAAAGUGAAACACGGUCUUGCCGUCACUUAUAGAUGGAUCCGCGCUGCAUUAGCUAGUUGGUAAGGUAACGGCUUACCAAGGCAACGAUGCAUAGCCGACCUGAGAGGGUGAUCGGCCACACUGGAACUGAGACACGGUCCAGACUCCUACGGGAGGCAGCAGUAGGGAAUCUUCCGCAAUGGGCGAAAGCCUGACGGAGCAACGCCGCGUGAGUGAUGAAGGUCUUCGGAUCGUAAAACUCUGUUAUUAGGGAAGAACAUAUGUGUAAGUAACUGUGCACAUCUUGACGGUACCUAAUCAGAAAGCCACGGCUAACUACGUG